GAUGUUAAGAACGGCAUUUCGGAGAUGCAGUCCUUGCAAUCUAACCAUGCUAGAGAGUUGAAGAUGCGUGAAUCACUCGAAGCUACUUGCAUCACUCUCAGAAGAGUUUCGUUGCAGAGAAUGAAAAUAUGGCAAAACGGUACAUGGAGUCUUUAAAGAAUCUGGCUAAUUAGGUGCUUGAAGUUAUGCCCUGGACUCAAUUUUCUUGUUUGAGUAGAGAAGGUGGUACUAUAAGGAUGAAAUAAACAUGCUUUGGAUCUACGAUUGAAAGUUGGUUUUAAAUUCUGGCACUCUUUUCAUUCUCUCAGACCUUAUUGUUAACGCAAUGCAGAUUCAAGAAUCUGACAAAGCAAGAAAGAAGUUCUCAAAUGCUAAAUCUCUUUCUUCCUCCCAAUGUUUUGGAGAUCAGAACAAAGCUGUAGAUGUGGCUGCUCAAGCUACUUUGUCAAAGUUUUCAGGUUCAUCUGCCAUCUCCAGUGCUGUUCAUACCCUCGUUUGUGUUUUUCUUCUACUUAUUAUUAUCCUUUAUAAACUGUUUGCAUUGCAUUCAUAUAUAUAUAUAUAUAAUUUUAGGAUUUCCCGAGAGUUCUGAGGCUGGCGAAGCUGAGCAACAAUGGUGCUGUGCUCUUAUGCAAGAACACGGGUUUUUCUUUCUCUUCCCUCAAAUGGAGGAACCUUCUGGGAGGACAUGGUUCAAGCCGUGGUGUUUUUCUUUGUGUUAGUUUCUUAAUCUACAUCUGCUAUUGUGCUUUUAGAUAUUCUCUCUUGUCAAAGUUGGGUUGUCCCAGAAUUGAUGAAAAAUGAGUAAUUGCUUACAAUUAGCCUUUCUAGAUUGUCUUACAAUUCCUGUGCUUUUGAUUGCAGGCAUAUGUGGAAAAGGUUCACAAGGCCUAGUGAAUGCAGUUUAGAAAAUUUAGCCACCUAAUUUGUGGAUUCUAUUUUAGGAAUUGUUAUUUAUUGUCUUAGAUGUGUAUUAUGUUUCCUUACACCCA